GAACGAGAUUAGAUGGUAGGACGG
rnacentral:siRNA from 1 species